ACGAACCAAGAGAGGGCAAAACGAAGACUCGUAGGUGGUGUAGAAAUUGGCGAUUGCGGAUCGAUUUCUGGCGAAGGGAUCAUCUCCGAGAUCGACAAGGCCGAAGAACGAAGGCGUAUGAACGAAGGUGAUUGAGGGUAACACGAUGGAAAUUGACCACUCACCCAUGGCGCUACCUCGAUUUGGGGGAACAAAGAAUGGAAACAGAAGGAGGGUGGUCUCAGUGGUGGUAAUCGAUUGAAAUGAGGAAGCUUCUCCGGUGUUUGACCGAACCGAAGGAGGAGAAGAGACGAAAGCAGCGAGAUUUUUCUUUCUCUUGUCCAGCUGCGAGGUGCGAAGGAAAGGAGGUCCGAAGGCGAGUCCGGUCGGUCAGUAGCAUGUUGCAGGUGGUGACAGGAAAAAGGAAAAGAACGAGGGAGGGAGAGGAAAGGUGGUGGUGAUUGACAAACCAGCAAAAGGGUUGAGGAGGGUGGAUGGACAGUGGUGGUUCAAUGGUGGUGAUUCUGUAGGGCAAAGGAGGGAGGCAGUCGACCUUUAACGACUCUCCUUGUGGUUUCUUUCUUCUUUUGGUCCGAUUGGUAACAAUACAAAUGGGUAAGCGAAGAAAACACACACUUCGGUGUGUUCUUGGUAUAAAAUGAAGAAGAAGAAAAGAAAAUGGCAGCAAACAGCUUCAUCGAUUUCAGGAGGUGCUUGAUCAUCCAUAUCUCCACAAAUACGAUUUUAUCAUUGUACAGUUGUGUUUGAGUGUUCAUUUUAACAUUGUACAGGUUUUGUUUAAGUGUUGUAUUGGUGAUUAUAAUUCUACAGAUCUUUACAAGAUCUGGUUGUACCCAUGUACUCAAUAUAGUUUGAUUUAGAGUAUCAUUGUAUUAUUUCUUUGGGCUUCAACAAGUGUGCAUAAUCCUUUGAAUGUGCAUUUAUAUAACAUAA